AGCUAUGGCUGUCGUCAGCUCGUGUCGUGAGAUGUUGGGUUAAGUCCCGCAACGAGCGCAACCCUUGUCAUUAGUUGCUACGAAAGGGCACUCUAAUGAGACUGCCGGUGACAAACCGGAGGAAGGUGGGGAUGACGUCAAGUCCUCAUGGCCCUUAUGGGUAGGGCUUCACACGUCAUACAAUGGUCGGGACANAGGGUNGCCAACCCGCGAGGGGGAGCCAAUCCCANAAACCCGAUCGUAGUCCGGAUCGCAGUCUGCAACUCGACUGCGUGAAGUCGGAAUCGCUAGUAAUCGCGGAUCAGCAUGUCGCGGUAAUACG
rnacentral:rRNA from 1 species